rfam:Triticum aestivum genome assembly, contig: Triticum_aestivum_CS42_TGACv1_scaffold_147530_2BS
AUAGUACUCCCUCCGUUCGGAAUUACUUGUCAUAAAAAUGUAUGUAUCUAGAUGUAUUUUAGUUCUAGAUACAUCCAUUUCUAAGACAAGUAAUUCCGAACGGAGGGAGUACUUG